rnacentral:misc_RNA from 1 species
GAUGAAGAACGUAGCGAAAUGCGAUAAGUAAUGUGAAUUGCAGAAUUCAGUGAACCAUCGAAUCUUUGAACGCACAUUGCGCCCGGCAGUAAUCUGCCGGGCAUGCCUGUCCGAGCGUCAUUUCUGCCCUCGAGCGAGUCCAGCAUCUAGGUGCUGGGCCCGCCCGGCGUUGGGGCACUACGAGAAGCCCUGUGCUGUCCCCCGUAGGCCCCGAAAUGAAGUGGCGGUCCUGCCGCGGCGCCCCCUGCGUAGUAUAACAGCUCGCUUCGGGACCCGGUGGAGGCCUGCCGUCAAACCUUACUCUCUAAGUUUGACCUCGGAUCAGGUAGGGUUACCCGCUGAACUUAAGCAUAUCAAUAAGCGGAGGA